rnacentral:tRNA from 1 species
UGCAGCUUAGUUUAGCUAGAACAACCAACUUGCACUUGAUAAGAGAGAAUACUCAGCAGCAG